GUUUCAGGACCCAUGAACCAGAAAAUGUCUGAAGAUGUUAAGAUCCCCUGAUUACUUAGAGGAAAAACAACUAAAACAAGAAGGCUGUUUAUCACUGUUGUGGAAAUUUCCUUUUAUUCUUGACACAACUUGAUGUCUUAAAGUGUGUUUUCUUCUGUGUGAAGUACGUGAGCUUUCUCACUAAGCAUUCCCAACUCAUUGAAUGUGAUGUGGUUAUAAAGAUAAGUUAGGCAGCUAGACCCUGCAUUCUAAAAAAGGAUUGCUUGCAAUGUUGGUUUGGCCAUUGAUUUGCACAAAGAGACUGUGGCUCUCUGUUGUGAGAUCUUCAGCUACCUCAUGGUGCAAUAACACACACACGCUUAACCAUGUUGAUGGCACAAAGCGGUGAGCAGUAGGGAGGCAGAGUAUCUUGGUGGGGAGGGGAUGUUAUCAGCUUCUGGGAGAUGAAGAAUAUUGUUGAGGUUCCAAAGAUGCUAAAUUCUUCAGUGAUAUAAAAAAUCAUUGAGCAUUCAUUAUUGCCAGUGAAGUGGGGAUGCAUUAUUUCUGACACCCACAAGCAGGGUUUGAUCAUCCUUUCAGCUUUGAUAUAUCUGCACAUAAAAUUAUUAUUACCUGAAGAAAAUAAGGCUGCAUUUUGAAAUGUUAAGUGCAAAACGACUGAUGUUAAAACCAUCUGGGGCAAAUCUUGGGAUACUUUUUCCUAGGAAAUCAUAUGGUUUUGAUAUGUUUUGGCACAUAGGAGACAGAAAUGGCGAUUAUCAGGCAUUGAGCCUUUUUGUAGUGUUUUUAGUCUUUGAUACUCUGUAAGUACUAGUUCCUAAGGCACCAACAUUGCAUUCCUUGGUUUAUACUUUUUCUAUUCAUCAGAGUAGGAAAUCUUAAAUCCUUAGGCAUCCAAGAAGUGUACCAGCUUUUUCCUUCCCUUUUAGAAACACUUGUGGGUACGGAAAAAUGAUGGUUUGGGCAUAUUGGUAUAAUUUGAGUAAACUAAGGUUAAUGUUCAUAUAACAUUUAGACUUUGCCAUAAAUAUCAGAACCAAAGAUGAAGACAUUCAUGUACAGUCUGGAAUGUAUAUAUGGGGCCCAUAAAAAUUCCCAGUAUGCAUGUUUUAUGCUCACCAAUAUGAAUUGGGAUCUUCAAAGAGAGAAGGUUGAAAGUGGAAAGCACUUGAAAGAGCUCCCCGGUUUGUAAAAUAUCUUUAAUCAUUCACAUUAGGUAUCUCGGAGUUGCGGGUCUCAAAUGUAGAUUCAUGCAUCAUUUGUGCAAUUUGAAGAUAGUCCAUAUUUCCUAUUUCAGUAUUAGGUCCUGCAACACUUUUCAAUUCUUGUAGAAGGUUUUUUUCAGGAGUGGUGAUGUCUGAUGCUCAAUUACUGUUUUCUCUAUAAGAGUUUCAGCAUGAGCUUAAUUAAAUUCUUGUGAA
rnacentral:lncRNA from 1 species